rnacentral:misc_RNA from 1 species
GAUGAAGAACGUAGCGAAAUGCGAUACUUGGUGUGAAUUGCAGAAUCCCGUGAACCAUCGAGUCUUUGAACGCAAGUUGCGCCCGAAGCCACUAGGCCGAGGGCACGCCUGCCUGGGCGUCACACGCCGUUGCCCCCCCAUCUACUCCUUCGGGAUUGCGGGGGGCGGAUGAUGGCCUCCCGUGCGCCUAGCCGCGCGGUUGGCAUAAAUACCAAGUCCUCGGCGACGCACGCCACGACAAUCGGUGGUUGCGAAACCUCGGUUGCCCGUCGUGUGCGUUCGUCGCGCAUCGAGGGCUCGAAAAAAUGCUCGGCUCCGGCUCGGCUUUCAACGCGACCCCAGGUCAGGCGGGGUUACCCGCUGAAUUUAAGCAUAUCAAUAAGCGGAGGA